UCUUCACAGACUUAGAGGUUCAUUUUAAUUUUUCUCUGAAAUAUUGUUUUGCUCUGACAUUAUUACUUUUACUUAUUAUACGUAUCUCUCACUUAUUGUAUGUAAUCCUUUCCUUAACAUCUAUCACCAUACGACAAGGCCACUGCUUUCUGAAAUGCCUUACUCUGCCAGUGGAUGUACCAAAUUGGACUCAAUGGAGGUGCAGGGGAUAGUGGUGAUGGUGGUGGAGGAUGAGUUGUUUGUGCUUCUACUGUGAUGCCCCAGCUGAUGCAAACCCAAAUGUAGUAGGACAGUAGAUCAUUGACAGAAACCUCCAAAACCAUGAACUAACAUAAACCCUGCAUUAGCUGACUAUCUCAUAUAUUUGUACUUCGGUUCAAAGCUUCGGUUCAAAACAGCAUUACAAAAUGAACUAAUUUAACUAUCUCUAUGUAGAGAGAUUCACUUUGAUUGUCCAGUGAGAAGAAGAUAUUUUAUGAUCACAAGGACAAGAGAAAGAGGUAAGAAAAUAAGGCCCAAGAUGGAAACAUGACAACACAUGUCAAAAUUGUGUUGAUGUGCUUAACUACGGACUGCUGGUGACCUGCAGAACCUGUAGGACAAUAGGGACGAAGCCUCCUCACUAGAGUCUCUACAAAGAAUCAAUUCUGUGGCAUAUGGAUUUUAGCCCACAAGACUAAUUUAGGCAACUGACUCCUGAACACUAAGGUAAUAAGUUUGUGGUGUUUCAAGCCACUGAGUUUGUUUGUGGCAAUUGGUUAUAGGAGCAACAGGAUAUCGUACAUGCCCAGCCCACGAUGCCAUGAUGCACUCUUUACCAGCUGCAGAAGUUGCAUCCAUUGAUGGCUUCUUGACUUUGCAUGCAUGUUCCCCUACCUCCUUCUGAAUUCUGAUAUUAUUACUUUUCUCACCUCUUCUCCACACUCAAAAUUCCUUCAUAUCCCAUGGGUGGAGGUUGAGGGAGAAGAAGAAGAAGAAGAAGAAGAAGAAGAAGAAGAAGAAGAAGAAGAAGAAGAAGAAGAAGAAGAAGAAGAAGAAGAAGAACAACAACAACAACAACAACAACAACAGAAGGAAGGAAGGAAGAGAGAGAGUCAGAGACAGGGAGGGGGAGAGAGAGAAGAAAGAAAAGGAAGGGAGAGAG
rnacentral:lncRNA from 1 species